rnacentral:rRNA from 1 species
UACGGGGGGAGCAAGCGUUGUUCGGAAUUACUGGGCGUAAAGGGCGCGUAGGCGGACAUUUAAGUCAGAGGUGAAAGCCCAGGGCUCAACCUUGGAAUUGCCUUUGAUACUGGAUGUCUUGAGUUCGGGAGAGGUGAGUGGAAUGCCGAGUGUAGAGGUGAAAUUCGUAGAUAUUCGGCGGAACACCAGUGGCGAAGGCGACUCACUGGCCCGAUACUGACGCUGAGGCGCGAAAGCGUGGGGAGCAAACAGG